rnacentral:rRNA from 1 species
AGCAGCCGCGGUAAUUCCAGCUCCAAUAGCGUAUAUUAAAGUUGUUGCAGUUAAAAAGCUCGUAGUUGAAUUUCGGGAUCAAUGCGUCGGUCGUGCUUUCGGGUACGUACUGGUGUCAUUGGUUUCUCCUUUCUGACGAGCCGUGAUGUCAUUAAUUUGGUGUUACGGGUAGUUAGGACUGUUACUUUGAAAAAAUUAGAGUGUUUAAAGCAGGCAUUCGCUUGAAUACAUUAGCAUGGAAUAAUGAAAUAGGACGUUCGACCCUAUUUUGUUGGUUUCUAGGAUCAACGUAAUGAUUAAUAGGGAUAGUUGGGGGCAUUAGUAUUCAAUUGUCAGAGGUGAAAUUCUUGGAUUUAUUGAAGACUAACUACUGCGAAAGCAUUUGCCAAGGAUGUUUUCAUUAAUCAAGAACGAAAGUUAGGGGAUCGAAGACGAUCAGAUACCGUCGUAGUCUUAACCAUAAACUAUGCCGACUAGGGAUCGGAUGAUGUUAAUUUUUUAAUGACUCAUUCGGCGCCUU